rnacentral:piRNA from 1 species
UGUCAUGGACCUCCACUGUUUCAGGACAUA